AGAUUGAACGCUGGCGGCAUGCUUUACACAUGCAAGUCGAACGGCAGCACGGGGGCAACCCUGGUGGCGAGUGGCGAACGGGUGAGUAAUGCAUCGGAACGUAUCCUUAAGUGGGGGAUAACGCAUCGAAAGAUGCGCUAAUACCGCAUAAUCUCUGAGGAGAAAAGCAGGGGAUCGCAAGACCUUGCGCUUUUGGAGCGGCCGAUGUCUGAUUAGCUAGUGGUGAGGUAAGGCUUACAAGGCUUCGAUCAGUAGCUGGUCUAGAGAGGACGACAGCCACACUGGGACUGAGACACGGCCAGACUCCGUACGGGACGCAGUCAGUGGGUAACUUUUGGACAAGUACGGGGGAACCUAGGACUCGA
rnacentral:rRNA from 1 species